GAUGAAGAACGCAGCGAAAUGCGAUAAGUAAUGUGAAUUGCAGAAUUCAGUGAAUCAUCGAAUCUUUGAACGCACAUUGCGCCCGCCAGUAUUCUGGCGGGCAUGCCUGUUCGAGCGUCAUUACAACCCUCAGGCCCCCGGGCCUGGCGUUGGGGAUCGGCGGAGCCCCCCGUGGGCACACGCCGUCCCCCAAAUGCAGUGGCGGUCCCGCCGCAGCUUCCAUCGCGUAGUAGCUAACACCUCGCGACUGGAGAGCGGCGCGGCCACGCCGUAAAACACCCAACUCUUCUGAAGUUGACCACGAAUCAGGUAGGAAUACCCGCUGAACUUAAGCAUAUCAAUAAGCGGAGGA
rnacentral:misc_RNA from 1 species